GACGAACGCUGGCGGCGUGCUUAACACAUGCAAGUCGAACGGUAAGGCCCUUUCGGGGGUACACGAGUGGCGAACGGGUGAGUAACACGUGGGUAAUCUGCCCUGCACUUCGGGAUAAGCCUGGGAAACUGGGUCUAAUACCGGAUAUGAGUCCCGGCCGCAGGGUCUGGGGGUGGAAAGUUUUUCGGUGCAGGAUGAGCCCGCGGCCUAUCAGCUUGUUGGUGGGGUAAUGGCCUACCAAGGCGACGACGGGUAGCCGGCCUGAGAGGGUGAUCGGCCACACUGGGACUGAGACACGGCCCAGACUCCUACGGGAGGCAGCAGUGGGGGAUAUUGCACAAUGGGCGGAAGCCUGAUGCAGCGACGCCGCGUGGGGGAUGACGGUCUUCGGAUUGUAAACCCCUUUCAGUAGGGACGAAGCGCAAGUGACGGUACCUGCAGAAGAAGCACCGGCCAACUACGUGCCAGCCGCCGCGGUAA
rnacentral:rRNA from 1 species